AUUUUUUUCUUUUACAUGGCAUUAGAACGAGGUUGAGUUCCUGAAGCACCAUUGUUGUUUCUAGUCGUAAGUGUGUGAGCAACCUCUAGCCUCACGACCCACUUCAUUAGAAUCAUUGCUUGCAUAUCAGUCUUCCCUCCAAAUCUUGUUGCCAAAAAGUGCUUAUGCAUUCCCCACGUGCCAUCGCAAGUUCUAUUCUCUGCCCCACGAGCUGGCAUGUGGAGCAUCAGCCACCAUCUCAACCUCAACUUACCAUCUUGCCUUGUUGAGUCAACUCUAGCUUACUACUAUACAACACUUGGGUGCUUUGAAUCUUUGGCCAUUUCAGGUUUUUCCCUCUUCUGCACUACUUUCUUUUCACCACUAAUAUUGCUUCUGGGUUUCUUAUUUCUCUGCCUCGCCUUGUUAUUGGGUCUUGUUAUUUGUGGCUUUAAGUUAAAUUGUAGAUGUUGCAUCUAAAAAUUUGUUUGGUCAACUAAAAUAACAGAUAAGGCAAUUCCCUCAAACACAA
rnacentral:misc_RNA from 1 species